rnacentral:rRNA from 1 species
UACGAAGGGGGCUAGCGUUGUUCGGAAUUACUGGCGUAAAGCGCACGUAGGCGGACUACUAAGUCAGGGGUGAAAUCCCGGGGCUCAACCCCGGAACUGCCUUUGAUACUGAUAGUCUCGAGUCCGGAAGAGGUGAGUGGAAUUCCGAGUGUAGAGGUGAAAAUUCGUAGAUAUUCGGAGGAACACCAGUGGCGAAGGCGGCUCACUGGUCCGGUACUGACGCUGAGGUGCGAAAGCGUGGGGAGCAAACAGG